AAUAGAUGUAGAGGUGCUAUAACAAAGAGUAAUUAUAUGGAGCUGGCAGGUUAGGAUAUAUAAUAAAAGGUGUUAUAGCCGAAGAGAUGGAUUUUUAUGCAAAGAUCAAUUUCUGGGUAUUCAUAAAAUAUAUGAAUAACUGUCACGAAAGUGUUGAGCUACACAGUUA
rnacentral:ncRNA from 1 species